GGUAGGAUCAUUAACAUUAACACGCGUAGUAUAACCCAAUACACGCGUAUGUCCUCCUAUUAUGUUCGUCACUAGUGAUUCAUCGUGUUAGCAGCCCACGGUGAACAGUUCCUAUGAGAACUAUACAUUGUCUAGUCUUGUCCUUAGUCAUUAGUAAUCAUUAUUACAACUCUUAACAACGGAUAUCUUGGUUCAUGCAUCGAUGACGAGCGCAGUGAAAUGUGAUACUUAGUGUGAAUUGCGGAAUAAAGUGAAUCAUUAAGACCUUGAACGCAUAUUGCACCCUUGAAUUUACUCGAGGGUACGUCGGUUUGAGUGCGACCUAAUAAAUAGACUAGUAAACUACUAUGUCUGAGUUGAGAUUGUAGCUAAAGGAUGCUAGAGCGCUACUUUCUUGAAAUAAUCAUAGAGGCGAAACGUACUAGCAAUGUGGGGAAUGCUUAUUAAGGAGGCUAGUAAUAGGUGAUCUAUUAGAUCGAUGAGAGGUAACACUCGAGUCUACUCGAACGAUCACUAGUAACUUGUGUCAUUAAAAAGCUUUUACGUGCGUCUUAGAGAGAGAAGUGAUCGUGAUCUGUCUUAGGACCGAUGAAAUUAACCUCGGUCUUCUUCUCUCGAGUAACAUUAAAGGGGAUGUGUAUCGUGAGGGCCAUGCCCAGCACUCAAUGGACUACUAGAGUCCUCUUUAAUACUUUUAUAUAAAGGGUAGUCAUUAAGGGUUACUGUUUAAAUAUAUCGAGCCCUUAGUGUCAUCCCUAGUCCCUAGUGUCUCCUAUGAAAAUUAUUAACAGUCGCCUCAAAUCAGACGGGAUUACUCGCUGAAUUUAAGCAUAUAAUUAAGCGAAGGAAAAGAAACCAACGGGGAUUCCCUUAGUAACGGCGAGUGAAGCGGGAAGAGCUCACGCUUAAAAUCUCGUUAGGGUAACGCCUAUAGAGAAUUGUAGUUUCGUAACCGGUAUUCACCGGGGAGGCUGUCGAGGCUUAAGUUCCCUGGAAAGGGACACCGUAGAAGGUGAGAGUCCUGUGAAGCCUUUAGACCUUAGUCUCUUCGAUCGUGUUACCGAUUUACAGAGUCGGAUUAUUUGAGAGUAUAGUCCUAAACGGGUGGUAAAUCCCAUCUAAAGCUAAAUACUAGCAUGAAACCGAUAGCGAACAAGUACCGUGAGGGAAAGAUGCAAAGUACUUUGGAGAGAGAGUUAAAUAGGCCUUGAAAUUGUUAAGAGGGAAGCGAUAGCGACCUUAAUAUAUUUAACGAGUAAUUCACCGAGAGAGGGCUCUCUCGUGUCGUGUAUCGAGAGCUACGGUCAACGUGGCCUCAAUGUAUGUGUGAGGGGGCUCUUUUAAGGGCAUUUUACUAGUUAAAGGGAUCAGUGUCUAUUAGAGACGAUAGUAAAACGGUGUUGGGGUUGGAAUGAUAGGGUGCGCCUUAUCAGGAGGCUUAGUACAACGAUACGUUCGUUCUGAUUGAGGGGUUUAUGUGAACUAUUACGGGUGCCAAGCGGGGGCUACUAGGGAUAGAAGGGGUCUUCGAUUAGCUAUACAGCACGCUGUAUAGUUGAACGGGGGUCUCCUCUAGUCUCUAGUCCCACUCACUCGUUACGACACGUGAUGUGCAUUAAUUUAAGGGCUUUAUCGACCCGUCUUGAAACACGGACCAAGGAGUGUAACACGAGUGCAAGUGUUAUAGCGAUAUAAACUAUUACGCGAAAUGAAAGUGAACCUUAAUGUGGGAAAGGGGCUUCAACGGUAAAACGUUGUCCCUAGCACCAUAGACCGAUCUCGAGUAAAUUUAUUUAGACGGAUUUGAGUAAGAGCACGCUUGUUACGACCCGAAAGAUAGUGAACUAUGCUUGUGUAGGGUGAAGCCAGGCGAAAGUCUGGUGGAGGCUCGUAGAGGUGCUGACGUGCAAAUCGCUCUCAGAAUAUGAGUAUAGCGGCGAAAGACUAAUCGAACUAUCUAGUAGCUGGUUCCUUC
rnacentral:misc_RNA from 1 species